GGACUACGGGGGUAUCUAAUCCCGUUUGCUCCCCCAGCUUUCGUCCCUCACUGUCGAAGCUGUUCUGGUAAACUGCCUUCGCCAUAGGUCGUCCCUCGAGGAUUACAAGAUUUCACUCCUACCCCCGAAGUACGGUUUACCUCUCCCAGUUCCAAGACUGCCGGUAUCUCUUAGACGCCUUCACGUUGAGCGUGAAGAUUUCCCAAGAGACCUAACAGUCAAGCUACGGACGCUUUAAACCCAGUAAUAGUGGCCAUCACUCGAGCAGCCGGUAUUACCGCGGCGGCUGGCACCGGUCUUGCCCUGCCCUUUCUUCACAUAUGAUUUAGAUAUAUGAACAGCCUGCAUCGACAGGCACUCAGGGUUUCCUUAUCACGAUUGCUCGCAUUGUAAAGUUUGCGCGCCUGCUGCCCCCCAUAGG
rnacentral:rRNA from 1 species